GACGGAGGAUGCAAGCGUUAUCCGGAAUGAUUGGGCGUAAAGCGUCCGCAGGUGGCAGUUCAAGUCUGUUGUCAAAGACCGGGGCUUAACUUCGGAAAGGCAGUGGAAACUGAACAGCUAGAGUAUGGUAGGGGCAGAGGGAAUUCCUGGUGUAGCGGUGAAAUGCGUAGAUAUCAGGAAGAACAACGGUGGCGAAGGCGCUCUGCUGGACCAUAACUGACACUCAGGGACGAAAGCUAGGGGAGCGAAUGGG
rnacentral:rRNA from 1 species